rnacentral:rRNA from 1 species
UACGAAGGGCCCAAGCGUUGUUCGGAAUCAUUGGGCGUAAAGCGGGUGUAGGCGGCCCUGUAAGUCAGGAGUGAAAUACCCAGAUCCAAUUUGGGACGUGCUUUUGAAACUGCGGGGCUAGAGUGUGGAAGAGGAUAGUGGAAUUCCUGGUGUAGUGGUGAAAUACGUAGAUAUCAGGAGGAACAUCGGUGGCGAAGGCGGCUAUCUGGCCCAACACUGACGCUCAGACCAGAAAGCGUGGGGAUCAAACAGG